GAUGAAGAACGUAGCGAAAUGCGAUAAGUAAUGUGAAUUGCAGAAUUCAGUGAAUCAUCGAAUCUUUGAACGCACAUUGCGCCCGCCAGUAUUCUGGCGGGCAUGCCUGUUCGAGCGUCAUUACAACCCUCAGGCCCCCGGGCCUGGCGUUGGGGAUCGGCGGAAGCCCCCUGCGGGCACAACGCCGUCCCCCAAAUACAGUGGCGGUCCCGCCGCAGCUUCCAUUGCGUAGUAGCUAACACCUCACAACUGGAGAGCGGCGCGGCCACGCCGUAAAACACCCAACUUCUGAAUGUUGACCUCGAAUCAGGUAGGAAUACCCGCUGAACUUAAGCAUAUCAAUAAGCGGAGGA
rnacentral:misc_RNA from 1 species